GAGCAGCUGAAGAGGAGGAAGAGGAGGAAGAGGAGGAGCUGAUCUGUUCCUGAUCUCUAAAGAGACUCAAACUUCCUCCUUCAGUUCAGUUCAACUCUCCAACAUUAACUCUGCUCAACAUGGACUAUUAUGGUCUGUCUCUGCUCAUCAUCUCUCUGCUAACAGGAGUCAGAUGCCAACAACUCACUGCGCUUCAGAAAGAAGAGUUCGCUGUAGAAAGCAGCAAAGUUACUCUGUCCUACACUUACUCCAAAACAGCCACUGGAAGUGAUUAUUUCUUCUGGUAUCGACAAUAUCCUGGAAAACCUCCAGAGUUCCUGAUCUCCCAUUUAGGAACAGGAGCUAAACUCCAGGAUCCGGUUCCUGGUUUCUCCUUCAACAUGAAUGCUGAUAAAACCCAGAUGGAUCUGCUGAUCUCCUCUGCUGCAGUGACAGACUCUGCUGUGUACUACUGCGCUGUGAGGCCCACAGUGACAGGAAACACCAGAACCCUGUACAAAAACCUGCAGUACUGUACAGCAGCCACUAGAGGGCCUCACUCCCUG